GGGGGAUAACACUUAGAAAUAGGUGCUAAUACCGCAUAAGCGCACGGUUCCGCAUGGAACAGUGUGAAAAACUCCGGUGGUAUACGAUGGAUCCGCGUCUGAUUAGCCAGUUGGCGGGGUAACGGCCCACCAAAGCGACGAUCAGUAGCCGGCCUGAGAGGGUGAACGGCCACAUUGGGACUGAGACACGGCCCAAACUCCUACGGGAGGCAGCAGUGGGGAAUAUUGCACAAUGGGGGAAACCCUGAUGCAGCGACGCCGCGUGAGUGAAGAAGUAUCUCGGUACGUAAAGCUCUAUCAGCAGGGAAGAAAAUGACGGUACCUGAUUAAAAAGCCCCGGCUAACUACGUGCCAGCAGCCGCGGUAAUACGUAGGGGGCAAGCGUUAUCCGGAUUUACUGGGUGUAAAGGGAGCGUAGACGGCAGCGCAAGUCUGGAGUGAAAUGCCGGGGCCCAACCCCGGAACUGCUUUGGAAACUGUGCAGCUCGAGUACAGGAGAGGUAAGCGGAAUUCCUAGUGUAGCGGUGAAAUGCGUAGAUAUUAGGAGGAACACCAGUGGCGAAGGCGGCUUACUGGACUGUAACUGACGUUGAGGCUCGAAAGCGUGGGGAGCAAACAGGAUUAGAUACCCUGGUAGUCCACGCCGUAAACGAUGAUUACUAGGUGUCGGGGGGCCAAGGCCCUCCGGUGCCGGCGCAAACG
rnacentral:rRNA from 1 species